UACGUAGGGGGCAAGCGUUGUCCGGAUUUAUUGGGCGUAAAGAGCGUGUAGGCGGCCUGAAAGGUCAGCUGUGAAAACUCGAGGCUCAACCUCGAGACGUCGGUUGAAACCAUCUGGCUAGAGUCCGGAAGAGGAGAGUGGAAUUCCCGGUGUAGCGGUGAAAUGCGCAGAUAUCGGGAAGAACACCCGUGGCGAAGGCGGCUCUCUGGGACGGUACUGACACUGAGGCGCGAAAGCGUGGGGAGCAAACAGG
rnacentral:rRNA from 1 species